AAUAGAUUUUUUAACAAUUAUUUAAAAAUAAAUAAUAUUUUUUUUAUAAAACAAAUUUUAUAAGUUGGAUAUAUAUAUCCCCGCUAUACCCGUGUCCUAAUUUUUCUAAAAUUGCCGUGUUGUUUUGUAUCCGUAUCCGUGUCUGUGCUUCCUAGAUUGUAGGAUAUAUAUUUCACGUUUUAAGUGUGCAUAUCUAUGUUUUUGUGUUUAGCCUAUGUUUUCAUAUAAUUUACACAUGCCAUUUCUUUUUUAGGUUUUGACCUGUGAUAAUUAGAUGGAAAAUCAGUUUUUUAUUUCCUGUUGCUUUGUGAUGCUUCAUGUGCUACCUUCGCCCAUGUGGUUUGUCCACUGUUCCUUUGGGAUGCCCCAAUAUACUAUUAAUGUUGAAACCCCAAUAGGCAGAUUAUUAAUAACUUUCCUAACAGUUACUUUAUUAAAAAAAAUACCCUUUUUUAUUUGCUUUAUUUCAAUUUAAAUCUUGGAUGGCAGUUUUGGAAAAUGAUAACUAUUUAUUUCAAAGACAAUAAUAUCCCUAUAAAAAGUUGAAUCCUCUACGCUGAACUAAUAAUAUGGGAUGGAUGCAAGCAGUAAGUCACAAGAAAUAGGUUUCUUAUGUUUGUUCAUUUGUUCAUUUUGUUUAGAACUACUGAUUUGAUGGUUUACCAGGUUCUUGCAGUGCAAAACAAGAAGGAAUAAAAGUAUGCAAAUCCCAUUGAAUUGAGCCAGUUUGUGGAUUUCAUCAAGCAUGACAAACUCCAAACUGAGACCUUCAUUAUCGGGCCAAACCAGUCUUGAUUUUCAGGUGUCUCAUGGCUUUCAUAUAACCCCUUGCUUUCCAUGUUCUUUGAGCAACAACUCAUAUUGCUUUUGAUCUCUUGACAUGGGCUUUGAUCUAAUAUCUUCAAAUCAGAGUUCAAGUUGGUAAUAUCUCAGGUUUAAACAUAUUUCUCUCUAAAUAUGUGAAUUAUCUCUAAUUUUCUAGAAUGUUAUGUCUGCUUUGUUUCAAAGUCGUCCCUCCUUCUCUCAAUGUUUUCAAACUUCGAAUCACCUAAAAUUUUGGCUGCCAACUAAUAUGUGCUUUUUUUAUUUUUUUAUCUCAGGUUCAAAAGAUACAGUCUCUCAUAUUAAAUAUUGGAGUUGUUUAUAGUCUUUUAAAGAAAUGGUUGCAAUGUGUUUGGUGAAAGAUCAAGCAAAGAGGCGGAACUUAUUGAAACACACCUUUUUCAAGCGUGCAAAGUCUCUUGAGAUUUCUGUGAAUAAAUGAUUCGCUGACUUGCCACCCCUUUGGAAUCAUGUAAAAGCCCUCCUGGUUACCCAUCAUAUUGCUGUGAUGCACCUUCCAUACUUUCACUUGUCCUGGUUAGCUUGUCUCAUGGCUAUGGUUAAUUUUGCAGCUUUAAGAUCAAGUGCAACUCUGUAAAGAAUAAGAGGUACACUGAUGAUAUGGAGCUUGAUGAUGCUGUGCAUAUGGCUAUUUUGAUGCUGAAGGAGGGGUUGAUGCUUAUCGGAGAAGAUGUAGAUGAUGAUUAAGGCUGAGAAUUGCUGGAUAAUGUUUUGGAAGGGUGUAACUUCAUGAUGCCAUACAUUGGUAUAAGUCAUUGGCUUCUUGGAGAAGCCAUGUAUGGAGAGAAGAUGCAUUCCUGCCAGAAUGGGUAUUACAUGGAGCCAAACCUAGAGAAAGUAGAUUUUCUUUUGUGGUCGUAAGUUGCCUUUUGAUUGGAAUUUUUCCAGUGCAAGGGCUAGUUGCUUAGUUUGUAGAGAGGAAAUUGAGCUAGGAAUACCUGAGCCACUAGGCUUAGGACUGGCUUGCUUGGGCUGGUUGGUUUAGGUGAAAAAGCCCAUGACAAGUGCUAGAGAAGUUCAUGCCAGGCCUCAAUUUGCUCUGGGCAAGAAAGGGUCAUGUUUAGCAUAGCUUUGGUGCAACACUUUCACAUACAAUCUUGUGGAUCUAGUCCAAGAGGCAGUUAUGUUAAGCAUCCAAUUACCAGAAGAGACACAAUUACUAUCCUUCUGCUUUAUGAGUAGUCUGGUUGAUAUGUAUUCCUUUGGCAAGGUGUAGACAUUCUUGGAAAGACAUGAUAAACUCCUUGUUUCAUAUGUCA